rnacentral:rRNA from 1 species
AGGGAAAGGUGAAAAGCACCCCGGAAGGGGAGUGAAAUAGAACCUGAAACCGUGUGCUUACAAGUAGUCAGAGCCCGUUAAUGGGUGAUGGCGUGCCUUUUGUAGAAUGAACCGGCGAGUUACGAUUUGAUGCAAGGUUAAGCAGUAAAUGUGGAGCCGUAGCGAAAGCGAGUCUGAAUAGGGCGUUUAGUAUUUGGUCGUAGACCCGAAACCAGGUGAUCUACCCUUGGUCAGGUUGAAGUUCAGGUAACACUGAAUGGAGGACCGAACCGACUUACGUUGAAAAGUGAGCGGAUGAACUGAGGGUAGCGGAGAAAUUCCAAUCGAACCUGGAGAUAGCUGGUUCUCUCCGAAAUAGCUUUAGGGCUAGCCUCAAGUGAUGAUUAUUGGAGGUAGAGCACUGUUUGGACGAGGGGCCCCUCUCGGGUUACCGAAUUCAGACAAACUCCGAAUGCCAAUUAAUUUAACUUGGGAGUCAGAACAUGGGUGAUAAGGUCCGUGUUCGAAAGGGAAACAGCCCAGACCACCAGCUAAGGUCCCAAAAUAUAUGUUAAGUGGAAAAGGAUGUGGCGUUGCCCAGACAACUAGGAUGUUGGCUUAGAAGCAGCCAUCAUUUAAAGAGUGCGUAAUAGCUCACUAGUCGAGUGACACUGCGCCGAAAAUGUACCGGGGCUAAACAUAUUACCGAAGCUGUGGAUUGUCCUUUGGACAAUGGUAGGAGAGCGUUCUAAGGGCGUUGAAGCAUGAUCGUAAGGACAUGU